rnacentral:rRNA from 1 species
UGCGCCGCUACCAUGCAGUCGAACGAGCGAGAGAGAGCUUGCUUUCUUGAGCGAGUGGCGAACGGGUGAGUAACGCGUGAGGAACCUGCCUCAAAGAGGGGGACAACAGUUGGAAACGACUGCUAAUACCGCAUAAGCCCACGACCCGGCAUCGGGUUGAGGGAAAAGGAGCAAUCCGCUUUGAGAUGGCCUCGCGUCCGAUUAGCUGGUUGGUGAGGUAACGGCCCACCAAGGCGACGAUCGGUAGCCGGACUGAGAGGUUGAACGGCCACAUUGGGACUGAGACACGGCCCAGACUCCUACGGGAGGCAGCAGUGGGGAAUAUUGCACAAUGGGGGAAACCCUGAUGCAGCGACGCCGCGUGGAGGAAGAAGGUCUUCGGAUUGUAAACUCCUGUUGUUGAGGAAGAUAAUGACGGUACUCAACAAGGAAGUGACGGCUAACUACGUGCCAGCAGCCGCGGUAAAACGUAGGUCACAAGCGUUGUCCGGAAUUACUGGGUGUAAAGGGAGCGCAGGCGGGAAGACAAGUUGGAAGUGAAAUCUAUGGGCUCAACCCAUAAACUGCUUUCAAAACUGUUUUUCUUGAGUAGUGCAGAGGUAGGCGGAAUUCCCGGUGUAGCGGUGGAAUGCGUAGAUAUCGGGAGGAACACCAGUGGCGAAGGCGGCCUACUGGGCACCAACUGACGCUGAGGCUCGAAAGUGUGGGUAGCAAACAGGAUUAGAUACCCUGGUAGUCCACACCGUAAACGAUGAUUACUAGGUGUUGGAGGAUUGACCCCUUCAGUGCCGCAGUUAACACAAUAAGUAAUCCACCUGGGGAGUACGACCGCAAGGUUGAAACUCAAAGGAAUUGACGGGGGCCCGCACAAGCAGUGGAGUAUGUGGUUUAAUUCGACGCACC